rfam:Picea glauca, whole genome shotgun sequence.
GCUGGAAUAACUCAGUUGGUUAGAGCAUGUGGUUCUUAACCACAAGGUCAGAGGUUUAAGCCCUCCUUCUAGAA